CCUACGGGUGGCAGCAGUGAGGAAUAUUGGUCAAUGGCCGAGAGGCUGAACCAGCCAAGUCGCGUGAGGGAAGACGGCCCUACGGGUUGUAAACCUCUUUUGUCGGGGAGCAAUGGCGUCCACGUGUGGGCGUAUGGAGAGUACCUGAAGAAAAAGCAUCGGCUAACUCCGUGCCAGCAGCCGCGGUAAUACGGAGGAUGCGAGCGUUAUCCGGAUUUAUUGGGUUUAAAGGGUGCGUAGGCGGGACCUUAAGUCAGCGGUAAAAUUGCGGUGCUCAACGCCGUAGAGCCGUUGAAACUGGGGUUCUUGAGUGAGCGAGAAGUAUGCGGAAUGCGUGGUGUAGCGGUGAAAUGCAUAGAUAUCACGCAGAACCCCGAUUGCGAAGGCAGCAUACCGGCGCUCAACUGACGCUGAGGCACGAAAGUGCGGGUAUCGAACAGGAUUAGAUACCCCAGUAGUC
rnacentral:rRNA from 1 species